UUGUGGGCAGAUGAGUCUCGGGUCUAUAGUAUAGGAACACUGAGGUGAGGGUACGGAUGGUUGUUAGAGAAUAACUUAUAUUGAGCGUGAUUAAUAUGAAAAAUUACUUGAAUGUCUACUCACUCAUCAGUGGUUGACUCGAUGCUGCAGUGGUGUAAGUGGUCCUUUGAUCUAUGGUGUCAUCGACUAUUCACAGUGAGGCUACUGAGUUUGACUGCACGUUCUCUUGGUUCC
rnacentral:lncRNA from 1 species